rnacentral:misc_RNA from 1 species
GAUGAAGAACGCAGCGAAAUGCGAUAAGUAGUGUGAAUUGCAGAAUUCAGUGAAUCAUCGAAUCUUUGAACGCACAUUGCGCCCUUUGGUAUUCCAAAGGGCAUGCCUGUUCGAGCGUCAUUUGUACCCUCAAGCUUUGCUUGGUGUUGGGCGUCUUGUCUCUAGCUUUGCUGGAGACUCGCCUUAAAGUAAUUGGCAGCCGGCCUACUGGUUUCGGAGCGCAGCACAAGUCGCACUCUCUAUCAGCAAAGGUCUAGCAUCCACUAAGCCUUUUUUUCAACUUUUGACCUCGGAUCAGGUAGGGAUACCCGCUGAACUUAAGCAUAUCAAUAAGCGGAGGAA